AGAGUUUGAUCCUGGCUCAGGAUGAACGCCGGCGGUGUGCCUAAUACAUGCAAGUCGAACGCGUUGGCCCAAUUGAUUGAUGGUGCUUGCACCUGAUUGAUUUUGGUCGCCAACGAGUGGCGGACGGGUGAGUAACACGUAGGUAACCUGCCCAGAAGCGGGGGACAACAUUUGGAAACAGAUGCUAAUACCGCAUAACAGCGUUGUUCGCAUGAACAACGCUUAAAAGAUGGCUUCUCGCUAUCACUUCUGGAUGGACCUGCGGUGCAUUAGCUUGUUGGUGGGGUAACGGCCUACCAAGGCGAUGAUGCAUAGCCGAGUUGAGAGACUGAUCGGCCACAAUGGGACUGAGACACGGCCCAUACUCCUACGGGAGGCAGCAGUAGGGAAUCUUCCACAAUGGGCGCAAGCCUGAUGGAGCAACACCGCGUGAGUGAAGAAGGGUUUCGGCUCGUAAAGCUCUGUUGUUAAAGAAGAACACGUAUGAGAGUAACUGUUCAUACGUUGACGGUAUUUAACCAGAAAGUCACGGCUAACUACGUGCCAGCAGCCGCGGUAAUACGUAGGUGGCAAGCGUUAUCCGGAUUUAUUGGGCGUAAAGAGAGUGCAGGCGGUUUUCUAAGUCUGAUGUGAAAGCCUUCGGCUUAACCGGAGAAGUGCAUCGGAAACUGGAUAACUUGAGUGCAGAAGAGGGUAGUGGAACUCCAUGUGUAGCGGUGGAAUGCGUAGAUAUAUGGAAGAACACCAGUGGCGAAGGCGGCUACCUGGUCUGCAACUGACGCUGAGACUCGAAAGCAUGGGUAGCGAACAGGAUUAGAUACCCUGGUAGUCCAUGCCGUAAACGAUGAGUGCUAGGUGUUGGAGGGUUUCCGCCCUUCAGUGCCGGAGCUAACGCAUUAAGCACUCCGCCUGGGGAGUACGACCGCAAGGUUGAAACUCAAAGGAAUUGACGGGGGCCCGCACAAGCGGUGGAGCAUGUGGUUUAAUUCGAAGCUACGCGAAGAACCUUACCAGGUCUUGACAUCUUGCGCCAACCCUAGAGAUAGGGCGUUUCCUUCGGGAACGCAAUGACAGGUGGUGCAUGGUCGUCGUCAGCUCGUGUCGUGAGAUGUUGGGUUAAGUCCCGCAACGAGCGCAACCCUUGUUACUAGUUGCCAGCAUUAAGUUGGGCACUCUAGUGAGACUGCCGGUGACAAACCGGAGGAAGGUGGGGACGACGUCAGAUCAUCAUGCCCCUUAUGACCUGGGCUACACACGUGCUACAAUGGACGGUACAACGAGUCGCGAACUCGCGAGGGCAAGCAAAUCUCUUAAAACCGUUCUCAGUUCGGACUGCAGGCUGCAACUCGCCUGCACGAAGUCGGAAUCGCUAGUAAUCGCGGAUCAGCAUGCCGCGGUGAAUACGUUCCCGGGCCUUGUACACACCGCCCGUCACACCAUGAGAGUUUGUAACACCCAAAGUCGGUGGGGUAACCUUUUAGGAGCCAGCCGCCUAAGGUGGGACAGAUGAUUAGGGUGAAGUCGUAACAAGGUAGCCGUAGGAGAACCUGCGGCUG
rnacentral:rRNA from 4 species